rnacentral:rRNA from 1 species
UGCCCUAGUAACGGCGAGUGAAGCGGCAACAGCUCAAAUUUGAAAUCUGGCUUCGGCCCGAGUUGUAAUUUGUAGAGGAAGCUUUAGGCGCGGCACCUUCUGAGUCCCCUGGAACGGGGCGCCAUAGAGGGUGAGAGCCCCGUAUAGUUGGAUGCCUAGCCUGUGUAAAGCUCCUUCGACGAGUCGAGUAGUUUGGGAAUGCUGCUCAAAAUGGGAGGUAAAUUUCUUCUAAAGCUAAAUACCGGCCAGAGACCGAUAGCGCACAAGUAGAGUGAUCGAAAGAUGAAAAGCACUUUGAAAAGAGGGUUAAAUAGCACGUGAAAUUGUUGAAAGGGAAGCGCUUGUGACCAGACUUGCGCCGGGCUGAUCAUCCGGUGUUCUCACCGGUGCACUCUGCCCGGCUCAGGCCAGCAUCGGUUCUCGCGGGGGGAUAAAGGCCCAGGGAAUGUAGCUCCUCCGGGAGUGUUAUAGCCCGGGGCGCAAUGCCCUCGCGGGGACCGAGGUUCGCGCUCUGCAAGGAUGCUGGCGUAAUGGUCAUCAGCGACCCGUCUUGAAACACGGACCAAGGAGUCAAGGUUUUGCGCGAGUGUUUGGGUGUAAAACCCGCACGCGUAAUGAAAGUGAACGUAGGUGAGAGCUUCGGCGCAUCAUCGACCGAUCCUGAUGUUUUCGGAUGGAUUUGAGUAAGAGCGUUAAGCCUUGGACCCGAAAGAUGGUGAACUAUGCUUGGAUAGGGUGAAGCCAGAGGAAACUCUGGUGGAGGCUCGCAGCGGUUCUGACGUGCAAAUCGAUCGUCAAAUCUGAGCAU